rnacentral:lncRNA from 1 species
CCGGGGCUUCGUGGGCCUUUCUCGCCGGAGUCACAGGACAUGGUACUGGACAGAAUUCUGCUCUGUUGGGACUUUCUCUUGCCUACCUGGUCACACUGAGUGCUGUCAGCACAGGCAGAACUUCUCCUUGGACACAGAGAUGUUGUUCAUGUCAAAGGUGAAUCACAGGACACAGUGGAUCAGGAUGACACUUGGAUAUCCACGGAGGACGUGACAAGAACCCUUGAUGAAAAUAGAGAAGAUGGCAAUUAGCAUGACUGAGGCUAAAGAACUUGAAAGCUGUCAGAGGUUAUCAUCCAUGCUCAUCGGAAACAAAGUGAACACAAGGUUGCCUUGCCUCAUCAUACUGCCGAGAAAUGCUGUGGUGAAACUCCACCCCCGUGUUGAAGCUGACUUGGAUUCCGUGUCUGAGAAGGCCUGAUUCA